AUGGUUACUGAGGAGAUUUUUAAACUGAAAAACCUACGCACUCUCAUUAUUGAUCAUAUGGAGCUUGCACCAGCUAACAAAGAAUUCUUUGAGAAAGUGUUUGAGAAACUGCAGAAAUUGCGAGUAUUGACCAUAGAAACCUCCUGGACAUUGAUUGAUGAAAUAAGUGUGUUCGAAAUCCCAGCAGCUAUUGGUCAUUUGAAGCAUCUUUGGUAUCUUACUUUAGUGUUCUACGAAGCAGCGCUAUAUUUACCGAAAACAGUAGACAGUCUUUACCAUCUGCAGGUGCUAAUGUUUGGUUAUGCAAGUGAUGUAGAAGUUUCAUCUGAUAUAAACAUGGGUAACCUCACCAACUUGAGGCAUAUCAUCGGCGGCGAAAUAACAAUGCAUAUUCCGAACAUUGGCAGGUUAAUAUCAAUACAGACAAUAGAAACUUUUGAUGUAAGAAGGGAACAUUGGUACGAGUUAAAACAGCUGAGGGACCUAAACAAGCUUCGGGGCAGUCUGACGAUCCAAAAUCUUGAAAAUGUUGAAAGCAAGAAGGAAGCACAUGAAGCAAAGCUAGCUGCUAAGAAAGGGCUAACCGAACUGCGACUUUUCUGGGUUAAUGACAGAGCUUGCACACCAGGAGUUCAAGCAGAAGUACUUGAGGGCCUUUGCCCACCCAAGGAUCUUAAAAGUCUGGAAGUCUGGAGGUACCAAAGUCUAAGGUACCCAAGUUGGACGCUGGGUGAGCAGAACGGUGGCCAAAAGCACCUACAUGAACUUAUAUUCCACGACUGCAGUCGAUUUGCGGCCUGCUCCUGA
rnacentral:rRNA from 1 species